rnacentral:rRNA from 1 species
UGGGGAAUUUUGGACAAUGGGCGCAAGCCUGAUCCAGCCAUGCCGCGUGAGUGAAGAAGGCCUUCGGGUUGUAAAGCUCUUUCGGCCGGGAAGAAAUCGUGUUCUCUAACAUAGGACAUGGAUGACGGUACCGGACUAAGAAGCACCGGCUAACUACGUGCCAGCAGCCGCGGUAAUACGUAGGGUGCGAGUGUUAAUCGGAAUUACUGGGCGUAAAGCGUGCGCAGGCGGUUUUGUAAGACAGAUGUGAAAUCCCCGGGCUCAACCUGGGAACUGCCAUUGUGACUGCAAGGCUGGAGUACGGCAGAGGGGGAUGGAAUUCCGCGUGUAGCAGUGAAAUGCGUAGAUAUGCGGAGGAACACCGAUGGCGAAGGCAGUCCCCUGGGCCUGUACUGACGCUCAUGCACGAAAGCGUGGGGAGCAAACA